rnacentral:tRNA from 1 species
GGGUCGUUAGCUCAGUCGGUAGAGCAGUUGACUUUUAAUCAAUGGGUCGCAGGUUCGAGCCG